UUCAUCUUCGAUUCCAGUCAUUCAGUUGUCAAUAGAUGUCCAUUUUAAUAAGAAUCUGUUGAGGAAAGCUUUUGAAAAUGUCCCAGGAUAAGGCCAAGAUCAGCAUUGCAACAAGCACAGCUUGUCCUCCUGAUCCGAAUUCAAUUCUGGGGAGCCCUCUCCACUGCUGUCAACGGGAGACAACAGCAACCGGCUCACUGCAGCUGUGCAGGAGGAGAAGCAGAACCUCCCACAGCAGUCUGUGCAGGGGCUGAUCAGCCGGCGUAGAGGGGUAGCUGUGAAGAAUGAAUUCGGCACCAGCAGGCCCGAAGGAGCUGCAGACUUGAAUGCUCCAGAGGUGCACAGCACUGUGUUCUCGGGAGCCAGCUCCAAAUGCAGUCCAGAUGUUGCCAACAUCGAGCUGGAGGUUCUCAGGCGGCAGUGGAGCCACAACAGAGGGGGAAAUGGAUUUUUAAAAUUCCACAGGCCUUCUGUUCGGUUUCCAUGCUGCGGAUUUCAUUUCAUGAACGCCGAGCGUGGUAGGUGCCAAGGAGCACUGUGGCCCCCAGAGAGUCUAAAGUGACUGCUGUCUUAAAGGGCUCCAAGGGCUUGGUCUCUGUGGGAUCUCCAACAUUUCAAUCUAAACAUGAUUUUGUAGGAUUUUGCUAGCUAUUGUACGUUAUUUAAGAA